rnacentral:rRNA from 1 species
AACGAACGCUGGCGGCAUGCCUAACACAUGCAAGUCGAACGAGGCCUUCGGGUCUAGUGGCGCACGGGUGCGUAACGCGUGGGAAUCUGCCCUUGGGUUCGGAAUAACAGUUGGAAACGACUGCUAAUACCGGAUGAUGACGUAAGUCCAAAGAUUUAUCGCCCAAGGAUGAGCCCGCGUAGGAUUAGCUAGUUGGUGAGGUAAAGGCUCACCAAGGCGACGAUCCUUAGCUGGUCUGAGAGGAUGAUCAGCCACACUGGGACUGAGACACGGCCCAGACUCCUACGGGAGGCAGCAGUGGGGAAUAUUGGACAAUGGGCGAAAGCCUGAUCCAGCAAUGCCGCGUGAGUGAUGAAGGCCUUAGGGUUGUAAAGCUCUUUUACCCGGGAUGAUAAUGACAGUACCGGGAGAAUAAGCGCCGGCUAACUCCGUG